rnacentral:pre_miRNA from 1 species
GCAUCUGUCACCGUCAUUCGGACGGACUUCAGCUCAACGAGUACCAACGUCUGCGAUAUUCGUUGUUUAUGAAGCCUGGCCGAGUAGGAGACAUCAGAACAUCCC